rnacentral:rRNA from 1 species
CCUACGGGAGGCAGCAGUGGGGGAUAUUGCACAAUGGGGGGAACCCUGAUGCAGCGACGCCGCGUGGGUGAAGAAGCGCCUCGGCGCGUAAAGCCCUGUCAGCAGGGAAGAAAAUGACGGUACCUGAAGAAGAAGCCCCGGCUAACUACGUGCCAUCAGCCGCGGUAAUACGUAGGGGGCAAGCGGUAUCCUGAUUUACUGGGGGUAAAGGGGGCGCAGACGGGGAUGCAAGCCAGGAGUGAAAGCCCGGGGCCCAACCCCGGGACUGCUCUUGGAGCUGCGUGGCUGGAGGGCAGGAGGGGCAGGCGGAAUUCCUGGGGUAGCGGUGAAAUGCGUAGAUAUCAGGAGGAACACCGGUGGCGAAGGCGGCCUGCUGGACUGCAACUGACGUUGAGGCCCGAAAGCGUGGGGAGCAAACAGGAUUAGAUACCCUUGUAGUC